rnacentral:rRNA from 1 species
CCUACGGGCGGCAGCAGUGGGGAAUAUUGGACAAUGGGCGAAAGCCUGAUCCAGCCAUGCCGCGUGUGUGAAGAAGGCCUUCGGGUUGUAAAGCACUUUCAGUGGGGAAGAAAGCCUUGGGGCUAAUACCCUCGAGGAAGGACAUCACCCACAGAAGAAGCACCGGCUAACUCCGUGCCAGCAGCCGCGGUAAUACGGAGGGUGCGAGCGUUAAUCGGAAUUACUGGGCGUAAAGCGCGCGUAGGCGGUCUGAUAAGCCGGUUGUGAAAGCCCCGGGCUCAACCUGGGAACGGCAUCCGGAACUGUCAGGCUAGAGUGCAGGAGAGGAAGGUAGAAUUCCCGGUGUAGCGGUGAAAUGCGUAGAGAUCGGGAGGAAUACCAGUGGCGAAGGCGGCCUUCUGGACUGACACUGACGCUGAGGUGCGAAAGCGUGGGUAGCAAACAGGAUUAGAUACCCUAGUAGUC